UAAAUCAAGGUUUAAACCACUUAAAUUACCUAAGUACUGUUUCAACAGGCUGAAAGUGCCAUGAUCGUUUUUUUAAAACAAAGUGUAGACAAAAAACAUGUGAAUGGCUUCUUACUUUAGUUCUCUUUACUCCUCUCCACCUCCUUCCCUGCUUCUACCUCUUAAACUUGUCAUUCCAUUCUGAUCAUUUCUCACUACUCAAUUUAUUUAUUGAGAUUGAACAUGCAUCCAUUAAGUAAACUUAAGCUGACAACAAAUCGGCUGCCACCAAGUUAAUUACAUCACCAGGUAGCACGUCAGGCCAUAACUGGACAUCACCCGGCAUCAAACUCACACCCAAACCAGCUAAAUAAUGUGCUAUAGAAUUACAAGCAAGGAGAAUUACAACCAAGUGCAAAACAAAGAAGGCUAAACAAGCAUCAUUUGUCAUCUGGUACCAGCACACCGUGUAAACUCAACUAAGAAAAGACAUUUCCUUCAUUGGAUACUUCCGCCUUCCAUGACCAAGAAUAUCAUCUCUAUUCACAACACAUGCCACAUAAUUCACCAGAAAAUAUAAGAAUAAGGGUUUAGAGGAAGACAUGUCUGUGCCCCAUCCCCAAGCCAGGACAUUUGAAUAUGGAAUGAGUAAAAUGGAGUGAACAUGAGAAGGACUGCAGGUCAAGCUUACAUCUGAGAAACCCAUCGUAACACUCGAGUUCCAAUCCUGGUUCAGGUUUGGUGGCUUACUUGUUUUUGCUCGACAUGCUUGCAAUAGAUCAUCAAUUAUGGCUACCAACUUUAUCCUCCUUGUUUUUGCUCGACAUGCUUGCAAGAGAUCAUCAAUUAUGGCUACCAACCUUAUCCUCCUAGCCUACCAUGUCAUGGGAAAAAUAGAUUCCGUCUAUCAAACAAA
rnacentral:lncRNA from 1 species